AUGAAAAAAAAACGUGUUUUCUGUUUUUCUUUUCUUUCACGAGAGUCACGGUUUUGCUUCCGCGAGAGGCACGGUUGUGCUUUCGCAAGAGUCACGGCCGUGCCUCUCGAAAAGGGAAAAAUAAAAUACGUUUUUUUUUCUUUUGCGAGAAUCACGGUUUUGCUUCCGCGAGAGGCACGGUUGUGCUUUCGUGAGAGUCAUGGCCGUGCCUCUCAGAAAGGGAAAAAUACGCGUUUUUUGUUUUUUUCUUUCGCGAGAGUUGCGGUUUUGCUUCCGCGAGAGGCACGGUUGUGCUUUCGCAAGAGUCACGGCCGUCUUUCUCGGAAACGGAAAGAAACGCGUUUUCUAUUUUUUUUCCUUCCACGAGAGUCACGGUUUUGCUUCCACAAGAGGCACGGGUGUGAUUUUGCGAGAGGCACGGGCAUGCCUCUUUCGAAAAGGGAAAAAACCGUGCUCCCGGUUCGGUUUUUUUCGACCGGUUUUUUCAUGAAAAAAAAGUUCGUCAAAACCAAUCAACAUGGGAUCUAA
rnacentral:rRNA from 1 species